rnacentral:tRNA from 1 species
UCCCUGUGAGCUCAGCUGGUAAAGAAUCUGCCUGCAAUGCAGAAGACCUGGGUUUGAUCCCUGGGUUGGGAA